AAUCGUGUCAUGAUUCAUUUACAUUUAUGUUGUGUGUUUACAAAAAUAUAUAGGAUAUAUUAUUUCUGCUACAAUCAAAUUGACUGUUUUAUCUGCAAACCAUAGGAAACUGUUAGAGUUACGUUGCUUUCCCUUGUCUAAAAAAAUACAUCUGGAGGAGUGCUAGAUUGACCUUUUUGUUCAUGUUGAGGUAAAACAAUGAAAUAAUUUUCUAAUAUAAAAAAAUACACCUGGAGGAGUGCUAGAUUUGUUGUGCUAGGAUAGCACCAAACAUUUUUGGAACCAACUCAAGCUAAUCCACAGGAAAUUUAUCAAAUGAAAAUGCAAGAACAAAAUAUUAAAGAAAACCAAGAUUUUAACGAGGUUCCUCAACAGUCAGUGUAACUGGAGUACGUCCUCGGAGCAGUAGGAGCUCACCCAAUAAUCCACUAUCAACCAAAUGAGAGUUUACAAAGUGUUGGCAAUCUCACAACCCAAAUAACCCAAUACACCCAAUAGCUCUCACACACCACAGAAACAAAUAGAGAAAGAAAUAUAAUGAAUAAUUUCUUCUCUAUACAUGUAGCUCAAAGCUAUUACAACAUAACUAUGAUGGAUGAUUGCUAACAAAAAAGAAGAGCACCUUCUUCUUUUCUGCUCUCAGUUUUCUGCUCUCUGCAGCUCUCUUUGCUCUCUCAAAGAUGGGCUACUAAAACUGAAAAAAUGGUGCACACUUCAUCUCUCUUUCUCACUUCCGUAUAUUCACCUUCAUCCAUCCUCAACACCCAAUAAACAAAACCAAAGUAAAAACAUAAUGAUUACUUUACAAACAUCAUCAUGACUUUCCUUUUUUCUUUUCAAUAAACAUAAUCAUUUGUCUUGUUUUUUUCUUUUCCUUUUUUUAAUAGCCGAAAGUUGUUUGUUUGGCCAUAAUUCAACAAUCUCCACUUUGGCCAAAUUCCGAAAACACCAUGAUAAGCCAACCAACACAAUCAACACAAAAAUCACUCCCAAACACUAGCAAGAGAACAACUCAUGCCGAGCCAAAUGCUCCAAAACUCCUACUGCUCAACGCCUUCUUUAUAUAGGCAUAAUGUGAGCCAAGUUCAAACAGUGAACAAACUUGGCUACACCAACAACCUUAGUCAACAUAUCAGCGGGGUUGUCUUUAGUUGGAAUCUUCUGGAGAAUGAUUUCCCCUUCACCAACAAUUUCACGAACAAAGUGAUAACGCACAUCUAUGUGCUUGGUCCUCGCAUGAUGAACCUGAUACUUAGCCAAAUAAAUGGCACUCUGACUAUCACAAUGUACCUCCACCUGCUUCUGAUCAACCCCCAAAUCUCUAAUCAGCCCAUGUAUCCAAAUGGCCUCCUUUAUAGCUUCAACAACUGCCAUAUAUUCAGCCUAUGUAGUAGACAAGGCAACAGACGACUGCAAAAUGGACCUCCAACAAACUGGUCCUUUAGCCAUAGUAAACACAUAGCCUGUAGUAGAUUUCCUUCCAUCCAGAUCACCUGCAUAAUCUGAAUCAACAUAACCAAUUGCAAAAUGACCAAUACCAGAGUCAUCCCUUUCAAAGCAUAAACCAACAUCUCGAGUACCAUGGAGAUAUCUCAAUAUCCACUUAGCUGCUUGCCAAUGCUCUUUACCUGGAUUAUGCAUAUAUCGACUCACCAUGCCAACUGCAUGAGCAAUAUCCGGUUUAGAGCAUACCAUUGCAUACAUCAAACUACCAACCAAAUUUGCAUAUGGUGCAUUUUUCAUUUGCAGCUUCUCUUUAUCAUUUUUAGGACAUUGUAGAGAACUCAAUUUAAAAUGAGGAGCCAAAGGGGUACUAACCGGUUUGGUUGAAUCAUGAACUCCAAACUUCCGAAUCAACUUCUCAAGGUAUUGUCUUUGAUUCAAACUGACGAAACCUUUUGCUCUAUCUCUAGUGAUCUCCAUGCCAAGGAUCUUCUUCGCUUCAUCAAGAUCCUUCAUCUCAAACUCAUUCUUCAUUUGCUUCUUCAAUUUCUCAAUCUCUUCGACAUUCUUUGAGGCAAUCAACAUAUCAUUAACAUAUAUCAAUAAAUAAAUGAAAGACCCAUCUUGCAACUUCUUGAAGUACACACAAUGAUCAUAUUGACUUCUAGAAUAAUUUUUGGCCUCUCAUAAAUUUAUCAAACCUCAAAUACCAUUGCCUUGGAGAUUGCUUCAAGCCAUAAAGUGAUUUCUUCAAUUUGCAAAACAAAUUUUCCUUCCCUUUCACUAUAUACCCAUCCGGUUGACACAUAUAGAUCUCUUCAUUCAAAUCACCAUGUAGGAAAGCCGUCUUCACAUCGAGUUGCACAAGCUCAAGAUCAUAUUGUGCAACAAGAGCUAACAUAAUACGAAUUGAGGAGUGCUUCACAACCGGAGAAAAGAUUUCAUUGUAGUCAAUGCCCUCCUUUUGUGCAUACCCUUUAGCAACUAAUCUUGCUUUAAAUCUCACAUUGCUUUUCUCAUCAGCAUCUUCCUUCUUGGCAUACACCCAUUUGCAACCGAUAGCUUUCUUGCCCUUAGGUAAUUUAGCUAACUCCCAAGUCUUGUUCUUCAAGAGAGAAUUCAUCUCAUCACCCAUGGCAUUGCACCACCUCUUCUUCUCCUCACUCUCAAUGGCUUCCUCGAAAUUAGAUGGAAUCUCAUCAGUGAUAAUAGGAAGAGCAAAAGAAACAUAGUCACUAUACCGAGCUGGCUUGGUAAUUUGUCUCUUUCCUCUAUUCUUGGCAAUAGACUCUUGAGGUGAAACUUGCUCUUCAACUUGAAUAGAAUCUUCAAGUUCAACUUCUUCAACAUCCUCAUGGUCUCCAACUUCUUCACUUGUAGUGGCUUCGACAUCAGCGAAAAUAGGAUUUGAAGUACCAGAGGCAACUUUCUCAAGCUCCACCUGUUGGACAUCUUUCACAUUCUUCUCAGAGUCUUUGAACAUACUUUCUUCAUCAAAUGUCACAUCUCUGCUGAUUACAAGUUUUUUCAUCUCUGGACACCACAACCUGUAACCUUUGACACCACUACUAAAACCAAGAAAGAUAGUCUUUUUGGCUCUAGCAUCAAGUUUAUUUUCAGUCACAUGAAAAUAAGUAGGUGAACCAAAAAUACGGAUAUAGUCAUAAUCAGAAGAAGGUUUUCCAGUCCAUACCUCCAUUGGUGUCUUACCCUGAACAACAGCUGAGGGUAAUCGGUUGAUGAUGUGACAUGCAUAAUUAACUGCUUCUGCCCAAAAUGACUUGCUUAAACCCGACUGAGACAACAUACAUCUAACCUUCUCUGCAACUCCAUUUGUUGUGGAGUUCCCCGAACACUGAAAUGUCUCACAAUUCCUUCCUCUUUGCAAACUUUAAAGAAAUGAUCGGAUGUGUAUUCACCACCAUUAUCCGAUCUCAAAAUCUUAAUCUUUCUCCCAGUCUGGUUCUCAACCAUUUUCUUCCAACCCAAGAAAAUGUUUAACACCUCACUCUUGUGCUUCAUAGUGUAGACCCAAGACCUUCUUGAAUAAUCAUCAACAAAGGUCACGAACCAAUGUCUAGCACUCAAAAAGGGAGUCUUUGUAGGACCCCAAACAUCCGAAUGCACAUAAUCAAGAAUGCCCUUCGUCUGAUGUACAGCAGUACCAAACUUCACUCUAGUUUGCUUCCCUAAGACACAAUGCUCGCAUAAAUCAAGCUUACAAGUCGUGGCACCUUUUAGAAGACCUUGUUUCACAAGCCCUUGUAGAGCUUUCUCACCGGCAUGGCCUAAUCUCAUAUGCCACAAUCUAGUAGUAUCUGAAUCAGAUGUGCCCAUAUUUUCAGAGACUACAGAUGCUUCACCUGUCACAGUGCUUCCCUGCAAUAAAUACAAAUGGCCACAUCUAGGAGCUUUCAUCACAACAAGUGCACCAUAAGUAACUUUCAAUGUCUGUCCAUCUGAAUGAAACCUGAAACCCUUGGAUUCCAAAGUACCCAAAGAAAUAAGAUUUUUCUUCAAAUUCGGUACAUACCGAACACCUGUCAACCCUUUAACCAUGCCAUCAUGCAACUUCAAACGAACUGUACCAAUCCCUUUUGUUGUGCAAGGAUUGUCAUCUCCCAUGAACACAACGCCACCAUCAAACUCUUUCAAGCUUGAAAACCAAUCCUUGUGAGGAGUCAUAUGAUGAGUACAACCCGUAUCCAGCACCCACUUAGUAGUACAAUCAAAUGAUGAGGAAGUGGUUAAAGCAAAAUCAGAAAAAUCUGUUUCAACCUCAGCAACAUUAGCUUUAGAACUUUCUUUGCCUUUGGUCUUCAACCUAGGACAAUCUUUCUUCCAAUGGCCCUUAUUAUGACAAAAGGCACAUUCAUCCAUUUCCAAAGUUUUUCUACCUUUAGAGUUUCCUCUAGGUCGAGACUGUGAUUUUUUCCUGCUAGAAGAUGAUCUCCUCUCCGAUGAUCUACCUCUAACAAAUAAAGCUUCAGAGGUACUAUCAUGAUUUUUAUCUCUAUGCCUCAUUUCAUAAUUCAUCAAGGCAUUUGACACAUCUUCAAAUUUCACAGUUUCUUUACCAUGCAUAAUAGUGGUAACAAAAUGCUCAUAAGAGUCCGACAAGGAAUUCAACAAUAUUAAGGCCUUAUCUUCAUCCUUAAUAUCCUCAUCUAAAUUUAACAAGUCGGCAAUCAACUUAUUAAAAGCAUCAAGGUGUCUAAUCAUUUUUGUACCUUCUUUGUAUUGGAAGCGGUAGAGCUUUUUCUUCAAGUGUAGCCAGUUCUCUGCACUCUUCGUCAUAUACUUGUCUUCCAAUUUUUGCCACAACACACUUGCUACUGUCUCCCACAUCACAAAAUACUUCUGAGUUUUUGCAAGGCACAACUGAAUUGAAGAGCAAGCCCACAAAUUUAAUUUUUCCCAUUCCGGCUUCGACAUAGUUUCCGACUUCUCUCCCAAAGCGGUAAGUAGAUCUUGUUGAGCUAACACAUCUUUGACCUCACAUUGCCACAUCCCGAAGUUGUUUGUGCCAUCAAACUUUUCCACUUUGAACUUUGCAUUUUGCACCGUAGUUCUUGCAAACCCGGAGCUGCUUCCAAAAGGAUUUUCAUCUUGCCCGUCUGACAUCUUUGGCAACUAGACAGUACCCAAGAGCAACCAGUGCUCUGGUACCAAUUGUUGUGCUAGGAUAGCACCAAACCUUUUUGGAACCAACUCAAGCUAACCCACAGGAAAUUUAUCAAAUGAAAAUGCAAGAACAAAAUAUUAAAGAAAACCAAGAUUUUAACGAGGUUCCUCAACAGUCAGUGUAACUGGAGUACGUCCUCGGAGCAGUAGAAGCUCACCCAAUAAUCCACUAUCAACCAAAUGGGAGUUUACAAAGUGUUGGCAAUCUCACAACCCAAAUUACCCAAUACACCCAAUAGCUCUCACACACCAUAGAAACAAAUAGAGAAAGAAAUAUAAUGAAUAAUUUCUUCUCUAUACAUGUAGCUCAAAGCUAUUACAACAAUAACUAUGAUGGAUGAUUGCUAACCAAAAAGAAGAGCACCUUCUUCUUCUUUUCUGCUCUCAGUUUUCUGCUCUCUGCAACUCUCUUUGCUCUCUCAAAGAUGGGCUACUAAAACUGAAUAAAUGGUGCACACUUCAUCUCUCUUUCUCACUUCCGUAUAUUCACCUUCAUCCAUCCUCAACACCCAAUAAACAAAACCAAAGUAAAAACAUAAUGAUUACUUUACAAACAUCAUCAUGACUUUCCUUUUUUCUUUUCAAUAAACAUAAUCAUUUGUCUUGUUUUACUUUUCCUUUUUUUAAUAGCCGAAAGUUGUUUGUUUGGCCAUAAUUCAACAAGAUUGACUUUUUUUGUUCAUCUGUUGUUCUUAGCCCCGUCUCGAUCUCAUCUGCAACAGAAGCCGCAGCAGCAGCAGCAGGAUCAGGCAGGAGAUCAAACUCUCCAAUCAAGGCCUCCAAUUCGAAUCUGAAAAGAUUGUCAUCAUCAUCUUUUCUCUCACUGCCUCACUAUCUGACCCUGCAGUGCAGCAGGGCAGACGCCUAACAAACUGCAAAACCACAAUCAACACUUUGAAGAACUCUUCAAAAUGAGAUCAUUUUAAUACACUCUACCACUUCAUAUCGAAAAGUGCACAUAUAAACAACAUGAAACAACAAAUAUGUCACAAUUUGAAGCAUGUAAAGGCAAGCAUAC
rnacentral:lncRNA from 1 species